rnacentral:rRNA from 1 species
UACGAAGGGGGCUAGCGUUGCUCGGAAUCACUGGGCGUAAAGCGCACGUAGGCGGACUCUUAAGUCGGUGGUGAAAUCCUGGAGCUCAACUCCAGAACUGCCUUCGAUACUGGGAGUCUCGAGUCCGAGAGAGGUGAGUGGAACUGCGAGUGUAGAGGUGAAAUUCGUAGAUAUUCGCAAGAACACCAGUGGCGAAGACGGCUCACUGGCUCGGUACUGACGCUGGAGGUGCGAAAGCGUGGGGAGCAAACAGG